GAUAAAUACAAACAUACUGAAAGGCAGAACAGACAUAUAGACAGAAUUUUGGGACCCACUUUGUUGUAUUAUAUUUCAUCGUAAUUUCAUGUCUGAUAGUUAUCUCGAUUUUUUACUAAUUCUAAACUUAAUUCAUUGAAACAUUAAUAAACUAAUAGAUCAUUUAUGUGUAUCCAAACCGUUAUAAUCAAACGCAUAACCUGCCCCCGAUAGACAACUGACUGCAUUUGCAUUGUUACAUAAUAUCGCAAACCAGACACUACGUCCAAUAGGAAUGUAAUCACCGUACAAAAAACAUUUUCAAUUCACAAUCGAAUUGCAUUCAUAAAUUAAACCUAAUCAAUUGUUUCAAAAGCACGUUCAUUUGAAACUAAAAAAAAAUUAUAAAUAUAAAUUACUGUAAAUAAUCAUUUAAUUUUUAUUUUGUAAUUAAAUUCGGUUAAGAAUGGCAGUCUUAAUGGCAAAACUAACAGCAUUCGCAUUCCUUGUUGCGGUGAUUGCCCUCAGUACUGCUGUUUUCGCUAGUCCCAGUGAUGACCGUGAAGACCGAGGAGUUAACAAUUUGUUCAGCAUGUUGCCUUUAGUGAGUCAACAAUUAAACGGCUGUGGUUGUGGCGGCGGACGGAUAUAGUCAAAACGCGCCUUUAAUUCAAAAAAGUUACGUGUCAGCAUUAUAAAGUGCACCUUGUGAUGAUGUAAAUAAAAACCAGUUUAAUAUGCUUUGUUUAUAACUUGCAAAUAA